CCCUUAGAUGUUCUGGGCCGCACACGCGCUACACUGAAGGAGGCAGCGUGUACUCCUGGAUCGAAAGAUUUGGGUAACCCGCGAAUCUCCUUCGUGCUAGGGAUUGAGGUUUGCAAUUAUCCUUCAUGAACGAGGAAUUCCCAGUAAGUGCAAGUCAUCAGCUUGCAUUGAUUACGUCCCUGCCCUUUGUACACACCGCCCGUCGCACCUACCGAUUGAAUGGUCCGGUGAAAUCUUCGGAUCUGAGAGAUGUCUGAUUAAUUUCGGACGCCUUUUGGAAAAGUUGCUUAAACCUUACCAUUUAGAGGAAGGUGAAGUCGUAACA
rnacentral:rRNA from 1 species